rnacentral:tRNA from 1 species
GCCUAGUUAGCUUAAUUGAUAGUGCGUCUGCCUUGUAAGCGCUAGGCCGCGGGUUCGAUUCCCGCCCGGGGCG